rnacentral:rRNA from 1 species
AGAGUUUGAUCCUGGCUCAGGACGAACGCUGGCGGCGUGCCUAACACAUGCAAGUCGAGCGAUGAAGUUCCUUCGGGAAAUGGAUUAGCGGCGGACGGGUGAGUAACACGUGGGUAACUUGCCUUAUAGUGGGGGAUAGCCUUUCGAAAGGAAGAUUAAUACCGCAUAAGAUUGUAGUAUCGCAUGAUAUAGCAAUUAAAGGAGCAAUCCGCUAUAAGAUGGACCCGCGUCGCAUUAGCUAGUUGGUGAGGUAAUGGCUCACCAAGGCGACGAUGCGUAGCCGACCUGAGAGGGUGAUCGGCCACAUUGGGACUGAGACACGGCCCAGACUCCUACGGGAGGCAGCAGUGGGGAAUAUUGCACAAUGGGCGAAAGCCUGAUGCAGCAACGCCGCGUGAGUGAUGACGGCCUUCGGGUUGUAAAACUCUGUCUUCAGGGACGAUAAUGACGGUACCUGAGG